rnacentral:rRNA from 1 species
AUACGGAGGGGGCUAGCGUUGUCCGGAUUUACUGGGCGUAAAGGGCGUGCAGGCGGUUCGUUAAGUUCGAGGUGAAAGCUCCCGGCUCAACUGGGAGAGGUCCUUGGAUACUGGCGGACUUGAGGGAGGCAGAGGAAAGUGGAAUUCCCGGUGUAGUGGUGAUAUGCGUAGAUAUCGGGAGGAACACCAGUGGCGAAGGCGGCUUUCUGGGCCUUACCUGACGCUGAGACGCGAAAGCGUGGGGAGCGAACCGGAUUAGAAACCCCUGUAGUCC